rnacentral:ncRNA from 1 species
UCUACAGGUGCCUCCUAGGAGGAGAAUAGGAAAGUCGGGUGCAAAUCCCGCACGGUCACGCCGCUGUAAGAGAAGAGGAAUCCUUCAUUAUGUCACUGUAAUGGGAAGGCGAGGGAUUCCGUGGAAGCUUAAGUCAGAAGACCUGCCUGAGAUAA